rnacentral:rRNA from 10 species
GGAAGUAUUUUGAAUUGAUCAGACCAGUGUUUAAUUGAUGCAACCCUGCCUUAGCUGAAUCUCUGAAGCUAAGCAGGUGUGGGCUUGGUUAGUACUGGAUGGGAGACCAACUGGGAACACUGAGUUCCU